rnacentral:tRNA from 2 species
GGGCCAGUAGCUCAGUUGGUUAGAGCGUCCGCCUGAUAAGCGGGAGGUCUGUGGUUCAAAUCCACAUUGGCCCACCA